AAUUAGAUUAUACGAGCUAAGUCUCUCUUGUUUCGAUAAUUCGGUCAAUGGGAUCGAAGAUAUAGAGAUUAGAAUACUCGAGAUGAUUUUAAUUUCAAUAAUAUUAUUAUUUAAAUAGGCUAUGAACCGAGAUCUCUGCUGAUCUAUAUAGGUGUAAAUUUAUACAGCUUCAGCGAGGUAUUCUCGCGUGAGCAAAAUCAGGGCUUAGUUGGCCAAAUGAACGGAGCCUCGGUACCAAGAAAUUCGUCGCCGAAAUUAGUACAAUCGACGUUGUCAGUUUUGACAUUUUCACAUAAACUUCGCGAGGUUUGCUCUUCUUUGGCAUAUCGCGAAAAAAAAAAAGAAGAAGAAAGAUUCCUAUUUCAAAAGGUAUAAGGUAUCGUAAAGGUACCUUACAGACCAGUUUGGCGAACAACUAAAAACGCCUAGGCCUAGAUUCUUUUGUACGAAAUAAAUAAUGAACCGAGAAUUUCGACGAAGUUUUUACCUGCUGAGGAUUGCCAUAGAACAGAACAAUAAAUAACCAUUUCCGAAUCGUUGCAACCCUAUACGAAAUCUAAUAAUGAAAACUAGGUAUUUUCAAACGUGUAAUUGGAGGGGAUGAACAAUAAUCAGAGAUCGCUAGCUGCAGGUCGACCUGGACCUAACGAGAACAAAUUAAAACCGCUCUACUACCAACCAGUCUUCUUCGGGACCAGUUUGAGAUGCGAGCUUCGUGAGAUAUUAUCGUUCGUCCUUAUGUAGUCUAAUGUGUCGUCCGCGUUCCUCGAGAUCUCGGUGUUUGAAUUUUUUUUACAACUGAAAUUUUUUCUUUAAACGUGAUUUUGAUAUUUUACUACAUCUGUACGAGUUCUUGAUUCGAACGAUGUUGAUUUUUUGAUUCAUUAACUGUCGUGUUCCAUUCCAUGUACGAAUACCAGUGACGUAGGUCUGGGUCAAAUGAGUCUAUCGUCCAGCAACGAGUUCGCCUUAUAGCUUCGGGGGAUUUCCAUCAUCGUGUCAUCGAUUCAUUGAUCAAUGAUCUGGUCGUGAAGAUGAGAGAUUAAGAUGUGUUUUUUAUGGUCAUUGGAUAGGAAUUUCUUUAUCGAAAUGAGUAAUUUUUUUUGAGGAAUUGGAAGUUGAGUUGAAGAUGGCUGAGUGAUGACUGAGUGAUGGUGAAUCUAGGAUUGUGUGGUUUUUAUGGAAAGAAGGUGGGUUUGUUGUAGGAAGAUUAUGAUUGAUUGGAGUUUAAAUCAGUGUUGUCAGGUUCGAGAAUUUUAAUCUGAUUUUGAGUUGAAAUUUUAUGAGGUUUGAUGAAUAGGUAUUUAAUUGGUUGAUUAUUAGAUCUAGUCAAUUUUCAUCUGUGUUGCUAGUGAGAUGAUGAAUUGUAUCAAUUUUCCUGAAUCACCAACUUCUGAAAAAAAAUCGCGGAAAAAAUCCUGAAAAAUGAAGUGAGCUUCAUAUAUUUGGCCAACAUUUUUACUCGUGUAUAAGAAAGGAAAAUUUUUGAAAUUUUACUGAAAAAAUUCACACAAGAUGAAGGCUGAAUCUUUCCUUUUUGCCCACAUGUAACGAAAAAACUUUUUUUCAAGGAAAGAACCGGAUUUUUUUUUUGUUCAAAGGCUUUUUUGUUAUUUAGAGAAAUCUAUAGACAGUUUUGAUCAACAUUUUUUAAAAUUUUCGUACCCAAAAGUGCUUCGAACGACUCAAAACUGCAAAAAUUGUCAUUUUCAGAGUUGAUUAUCAUUCUUAUGGCAAUAUUAUCAAAUGUGAGAUUCAAAAAGUUGUCUAAAAUGUCGCAAUUAAUAGCUAAAAAAAUCUCACUUUUCUUACUCAAAAUCUUCAUUGCUAUAAAAAGGGAUUUAUGAGAAGGGUCGAUGGAAAUUUUCUCAAAUUUUGAUACACAAACGUGCUUUAAAUGACCCAAAAUUGCACAACAUUUUCAUUCUUAAGAGUUGAUUAUCACGAGUACUAAUUUUUCAAUUUUAAAAAUGUUGCCCUGGGUUAGUUUUUUCUAAGACGAUGAUUUUAAUGAUGAAAUUUCAAAAAAAAAAAUAUGUCAAUUUUUGAACCGUUCUGUGCAAAAUAUUUUUCGGUUUUAUCUUCUUUCCAAAAAAAAAUCCAUUAUUUGAAAGAAAAAAAAUCCAAAUCGAGAAAUGGUUUUUGAUGAUUUUAUUCACUCAGAGAUCCUGUACUAUGCCUUCCACUCGACUUGUUAGAAUUUUUUAUCGUCUUUUUUCUAAAAAAAAAUAUUCCAAUUUUUGAACCGUUCUGUGCAAAAUAUUUUUCAGUUUUAUCUUCUUUCCAAAAAAAAAUCCAUUAUUUGAAAGAAAAAAAUCCAAAUUGAGAAAUGGUUUUUGAUGAUUUUAUUCACUCAGAGAUCCUGUACUAUGCCUUCCACUCGACUUGUUAGAAUUUUUUAUCGUACUUUUUCUUGAUUUUUAGCAUGUUAAAAAAAUAUUUUAAAAAUCAUAAUUUUUUUUGAAAAAACUUAUUUUGAGGAAUUUGUUUGCUGUUUUUUUUUUUAUUUUAUUUCUAGUUAAAUCAUCUUCUUAGGCAGAAUCAAAUUUUGAAAUUUCUUGAAUAGUACUUUUUCUAUAAAAAUAAUGGAAAAAAGCAAACCUAAUGUACAAAAAAUUGAGAAAUUUCCUCCUCCCCCCUCCUCCGUCGAAAAUUUAAUUUCAGAAAAUUUCAAUGUUGGCAUAUCUAAAAUUUUUCAUUUCGUGAGUUUUUGUUUCAACUGAAAGAAGAACAAACGAAACUGAAAUUUUGGGGAAAAUUAAAAAUCCAACAGUUCCCCUCUCUGAACAAAAUUUGAAUUUGAAUAACCCCAAAUUCAUUUUUUGGUCUUUCCAAAAUUUCACUGUUUCAGCAAAAAAAAAAAAAUGAAGAAACCAACUCGCCCCCCCAGUUCGAAAAAUUUUCAUCUCAGAAAAACCAUCAAAUUUAAAAUAGUUUAAUUAAUUUUUGAAAAUCUCGAAAUAUGAAUUUCUCUUUUCAAAAAUUCAUAUUGUUUCAGCAAAACAAAUAGAAAGACGAAAUUGAAAUUAAAAAAAAAUUAAAUCUCACCCCCCACUCCCCGUAGAAAAAUUAAUUUUUGAAAACCUCAAAAAUUUCAAGAGUUUAUCAUCUUAACAAGAAGUAAAAGGUAAUUGAUGGAAUUGAAACGCGAAAAAAGUUGAAAACUUGCCUUUUCCCUCCUUUAAAAAUCCAAAAAUUUAAUUUUAUAAAACCUCGAGGAAUAAUUUUUUUGUUUCAAAAAUUCAUGGUUUCAGCAAAAAAAAGAAACCAACUCCAAUCCCCCCCUCCAAUUCGAAAAAUUUCAUUUCAGAAAAUCACCAAAUUUAAAAUUUGUCUUUUUAAGAGUUUAUUGUUUCAGCAAAAAGAAUCAAAAAACGAAACUGAAAUGGGGCAAAAAGUUUAAAACCUACCCCUCUCCUCUCCCUAAAAAAAUUAAUUUUGGAAAAUCUCAGAAUAUGAAUUUCUCUUUUCAAAAAUUCAUUUUGUUUUAGCCAAACAAAUGAAAAGACAAAAAUGAAAUUUGAAAAAAAUAAAAACUACCCCCCCCCCCCCCUCCACAAAUUAAUUUUGGAAAACCUCAAAAAUGUUAAGAGUUUCACUAACAAAAAGUAAAAGGGAUGUAGUUGAAACGCGAAAAAAGUUGAAAACUUGCCUUCUCCUUCCUUCAAAAAUCCAAAAAUUCAACUGAAAUCUGAGAAAUGUGGAAAAAAGUUGAAAACCAAUAAGAAAUUUAACUUCAGAAAAUCUCAAAAUUUGAAAUUUUUUUUUUUCAAGAGUUGAUUGUUUCAUCGAAGAAAAGAGAAAGACAAGACUGAAAUGUGACAAACAAUUUAAAGCUACCCCUCUCCUCCCCUCCCUGAGAAAAAUUCAAGUUUGAAAAACCUCAAAAUAUAAAAUUUUUUUUCAAGAAUUCCUUGUUUCAACAAAAAUUUGAAAAAAAACAACAAAAAAAUAUAAAAACUUAUCCCCUUUUCCUUGAAAAAAUUUUAUUUUGGAAAAUCUCAAAAUACCUACCUAGGUAUAUUUUUUUUCAUUUCAAGAAUUCAUUGUUUCAACAAAAAAAAGUGGAACUAAAAUGCGAUAAAAAAGUUGAAAACCAACUCCCCCCUCUUAUGUAGAAAUAUCCUUUCAAAAAACCUCACAAUAUGAUUUUUUGAGUCGAUUUUUUCAGUCAUUCUAAUCAAAGCUUCUCUCGACAAUUCUUUGAAAAAAAUUGCAAAAAUGCGUUAAAAAAAUGAAAUUUUUCAUUCGACGAAUGUUUUUUCUACAGUUGAGAAGUUGUAGAAACUUGAGUUUUUAUUAUGAAAUACGUACUUUACACAAAAUUUCUCUUCAGUACAACCUUUGAGUGUUUUCAAAAAACAAUGAAACCUUCAAUUUCACUAAAGUAUAAAAUUUGAUUUUCAAUGUUCACAAAAUUAUUUUCAAAUGCAUCGGAAUUGUUUUUAGAUGAAAUUAUUAUUUUUUUUUAAUCAUGAAAAUUCUACUCUUUUUUUCGAUAUUUUGACAGUUUUUUUCUUGAAAGCCCAAAAUUAGUUUAUUUUUUUAGUUGAUUCAAGUUGCAUUUUACUAAAAACAGAAUACUUCGUAUAAAUUCCAGACUUAAUUGCAUUUUUUUUUCACUUGAAAAAUUUCAAUUUCGAUUACAAGAAUGGAAAAUUCUUCAUUCUGAGAUCCGUAAUUGGCAAAAAAAAAUUGAAAUUCAAUCGUUUCAAAAUACCAGUUUGUUUCCCAUUCAAAAAAUAUGUCACUUUUAUAACGAAAAAUCUCCCUGAUACCCUUCCUACUCGAAAACCAUCCAAAAUCUGAACAAAACACCGUGAAAUUGAACCAAGCCUCGCUAAAACAUCAAACUCAUUCUGUUCGAAUUUCACAACGACACGUACCAACCUCUCUCUACCUACCCUCUCAUUUAAAGCAACUCUUGUGUGAAUCUAUAAACAACGAGAACACCUUUUCUUCGAGGUUUCAAUUUAUGGAAAAUGUUUUUCAAAAAAAUGCUACCCUUACAACAAAGCACUUAUUAUACCUACUACGUAUCCAAAAUGCAUCUUAAAAGCCAGCUUAAUUAAAUCUACAUCGAGUAUAGACCUUUUAGCUUUUAAGUCAUCGCUUUGAUGUUGCAGUAGGUAGUAGUUUUUUUUUUUGGUUGUAGUAAAACUGCAACUCAAAGCUAGCGAGACGUUAUUCGAGCAACCCGGUAAUUUGGCGUAUUUGCAUUAAUUUAAAAUCCAAUCGAGCUUUCAAUUACUGAUCAAAGUACCUAACUAGAUAGGGAUUUUUCAUACAGUAUUGCGCUUUUACUUCUACCUUACUUAUAUGUUUGGUUGGUAUAUAGGACUAAAGGUUGAUGGAAAAGUUACUCGGGCUUAGGUUUAGCAUGGAUGAGAUGAGCUUUGUAGAAAAUUUCCUAUACACCUUGGAUUGCAUUAAAACGAGUAUGUGUGUGAGUCUCUGUGCGAGUUAUUUUGAAUCUAGUCUUAAUUUAAUUCCUCUCUAGUAUAGUCGAAUUCUCCAAAUGGCAGACUGUUGUUGAGAAAAGUUUUACUCGAUCAUUUACUUAUGGACAUCGCCGAGUAUUAAUUAGCUCUUGAUAAAGCUUUUCAUGUACGAGUAAUUAGGCCUUUUAGUCGUCGUUUACUUUCCAUGAUGGAUAGCUUGGGUUUACUCUUCGAUUCUCUGUUCUCUGUGAGCAAAAACUGCUGCAUUUGAGUUUUUUUUUUUUUUAAACAUGGAAUAGUUUUCAUCGAGUCUAAUCUGAUUUAACUAUCCUAACAGGCUCUCACUUUAGAACUAUAUACUUCCUGUGCGAGUUGAUGUGCUUUUGAACGAACAACUUGAGAGAAGGCAGGCUGAGGCAGGCAGGCAAAGAAAAACGUUAAUUAUUCGACGAAAUCCAUUUUAUAUAAAUAUAAAGGCAAAAAACAAGUUUAACAUCACCGUUCACCUUACAAGGUUAUGCGAAAUAUACCCAACAUGGUGGAUUUGAGAACUGAGAAGAUGCUGCUCCCCCAUAACGCAUUUCUCUCUAUCUCCUCUACUCUGUUUCAUUCUUUCUCCAGACUCCCAAUUAUAAUAACAGGUUAUGAUGACAUCGCCGAUUAAUACGAUAUUUUUCGUAUUUCAUUGUGAUCAUUUCCAAGAAAAUGAUUCAUUCGAAGCCGAAACCGAACCGAACCGAUGGUCUAUUGAUCUAAGAGACCUUGAGGCUUGGGUUUUGGUCGAUCGCUGGCCACCACGUCUUUUUUAUACCUGCCAGAUUAAAAACAACCACCAUUUUGUCACCGUCAUCACCACCACCAUCAUCAUCAUCGCCAUCGUCAUCGGUGUUGCAGAAAGUGUUAAUUUUUUUCUUUGGUUAUCUAGCUGUAUGAUUGGCCAAUCGUCAUAAAGCUAGGUUACCGAAGUUAAAAAUGACUAAAUUACGUCAGAUUCUGUGCAGAAUACAACGAACGAUGCUUAAUUAAAUAUAUUAUAUUAUAUUGUGUAAUAUGACGUAAGAAAAAGAGAUGUAUUUGAGAAAUAAGAAUAUAAAGUGGUGCUUUAUAAUAUCUAUAUUGAUGAAAGGAGCCUUUUCAGAUUAAACAAAAUAUUAAUCAAGCAUUUAUUAUAAAUCCGAGCCAUUGAAUCGAAUAAUACAAGAGACAAGAGAUGAGAAAAAAAACAAGGAAAAAAAAUUCUGACCUGAAAUAAACGCCUAUUUGAAAAUUUCAAUACA